CCCGCUCCCUGCCUCCCUCCAUCUCCAUCUCUCUCUCUCUCUCUCUCUCCAGCCCGGCGCUGGGAGCCGUGCGUGUGCGCGUGCGCUGGUGUAAUCUGACUGCACGCUGGGGCUGCGUUCCCUAAGAAAAGCUCGGCGCUCUCUCAGUUUUUCUGCCCGUCUUAUUGCCGCUUUCAUUGUCUUUGUCGACUGUGAUAAAGAGCGCAGUUCGACCGCGGGCCUGUUUUUGGAAUAAGAAAAAAGCAUUGCUGUUUUCUGACUUUGACAGAAGAAAGAAAGGGACUCCUCUGGAAUUUCCUACGGAAUUUAAUCGGACAGCUCCGUGACCGGGGCUUUGCAUUCUCCCGCCUGGGUAUAUAGUAAGGCGCACUAACGGCGACAAUUCACAUCAGCCGUCCUACUUAUGCGAGGAGAAAUAUCCACCUUCAUUAUGCAUAGGACUCUUGACAAUCCCCUCCUAGGAUUAGGUACGUGUGUGACAGUGAGGGCGCAAGCAGGCAGCCAGGGCU
ensembl:lncRNA